AUAACCUAGAGCAAGCACUGAAGAUGCUCUGGGUGCAACACCACCCCCCAAGAUUCCUUUGGCUGGAGUCAGCCUUCCAUCUGGAAGGGCGCGCCUGGUGCCGUGGCAUUAGGGCUGUGAGCCCUGCAGGGCCUCUCCACAUCCUAACCAACUGGAGUCUGUUUCCAUUAAAAUGAAGUAAUAAAAAUAACACGAAAGCCUUUCUAUUUAUAGAUGGUUUCAUAGACACUUUUAAAAAUACAACCUGAAUUUGGCUCCAGUAACUUGGCGUUGGUUAUUUUAGGUUCUACGUGGAUUUUAUUUUUAGUGGUGCAGAAUGAUUUCUAAAGCAUUCAGCUGGAAUAACAGAAGAAGGCAACAGAUGGUUUUGGGAAACAUCAGGCUCCUUACUUUGCAGAGAAUGGCUGCAAGGAAAUGGAAGUUUCUCUUCAGCUGUGAUACUCAUUCUCUUAGAGGAUCCUUGGCAUUUAUGGCAGAACUUGUUUACUCUUCAGGCGCCCCAGCAGCCUUCUUUGCUCAUCACCCCACCGCUCAACCACCAAGCUGUCAUGGGAUGAUGGCGACCUCUAGAGGCCACACUUAGAAACUGUCUGAUGUAAAGUUCAGCCUCUCCAGGCUCUUAGAAGAAUCAUCAAUAGAGCUUUUCCUUAGGGCUCUGAGAAUCGUGAAUACAUAGAGCUUUUCUUUUCUCUCCCAUGUUUUGCUGCUCACAGCCCAGGUACUUCCACCUAAGGCGAUUAUUUUCUCACACUUUCAUGGCAAAUGCCUCCCUUUUCCUUUUUACCAUUCUUUCCAAAAAAGAAAACUUUCCUAUUUGUGAGUGAAAAUGUUUAAAUGACUGUAAUUAUGCUCAGAGCCUGUAUGAAAGUAACAAGAAAGACAUUUGGUGUGAAGUCAAAUAAUGUCACUAAUUGCUAGCCCUUCAUUAUUCCAAAGGCCCCUUCCCAGAAACUCCACAAAUUCCAUUUCCUAAGCAUCAAGAUUCCAACGUUUUAAAGGCUAUUAAAUUGUUCAUUACCUCUUUUAGUUAUGCGUUAGUUUGUUUCUUAGUUAUUACAGUUA
rnacentral:lncRNA from 1 species